UCCAAGCAAAAUAAAGAAAAAAGAUUAAAAAAAAACUAGAGAAAUGGAAAGUUGACUAUCAGCUAGAAUGGUCUAGAAAGGGAAAGGUCUUGACGGAGCCAUCCAUCAUCGGAGCUCCGAUCGACUUCCCCAUUCUACCGCAGACUUUUACCUUCCUUCUAUUCCACUCUCCCGUAGUUCCAUCAAUCACACGACCACUCUAAUUUCUUGUUUUUUUCUCCAACUAUUAUUUUCACUUAAGGUUCUGGAGUUUUCUUUAAUGGCAAUGAAGCAGCUCCAAUUUGAGUAGCAUCUACAAUCUAUCACCAGAUUUACAUAAAAUUCAGUCACCAUUUAGUCCUCUGGAUAUACGACUCGCCCACGUACCAAAGAUGCUCUCAGUUCUAAUGAAUGAGUGGACACCGAUGACCUUCCACAUGUCUUUUAAGGUUGAUCAUAGACGAGCUUAUAAUUGGGAAAUCAUGCUUUCUAAGGUGAAAAUACCACUGCAUGACAUGAUGAGGCUAUUGUGCAACAUGCCCAGUAAUGGUCCCAAUUCAUGUUUGUGCGGAGUGACACAUUUUGAGGUAGGAC